UGGGACGUGUAACAUCCCUCGGAGUUUCCUGUGCCAGUGCUUCGAUGCCCUUUCUAGACUACCCAGUUGUAUGUUAGUGCUGGGCCAUCAUUUGGGUCCGUGUGUUAGUGUGUUUGGUCGACUGCCCGGGUGAGUGAGGACAUUGGCUGGGAGUGUUCCCGUUUGGCAUACUGGGUUAAAGCGUGUCCUCGGUUGGUUGUCCAGCACCGUCUUUCUCCGUGGCUAUACCCUCGUGCUUCCCAUGUUCUUUUCUUCCCAUCGAAGCACCCUCCUUCACGCCCGUCGUCUAACGUCGAACAAAGCUCACCGGCUUCCUCCUAUUUCGCUCCCCUCGAAUCGAAGGGGUUCUGUAAGAUUUUUGUCGCUCCUCCUGCCAAAGCUCUGUUGCAUGCCAGUCGUCUCACAUAACAAGGCUCGCCGGCUUCCUCUGGCUUUGCUCCCUUGGAAUGGAAGGGGUUAUACGAGCGUUUUCGUCUGUGCUCCUGCCAACUUGUUGAGCUAGGGUUUGUAUGCCCUUUCUUCUUUCUCUGAUCUCUUUUGCACGCUAACUAUCCAUUUUCUUUCCCUGCUAGUUUGCAGGUAUUGCCAACUUCUUCUCACCGUUCGGUUGCAACCAUUCUUGGACUUCUUCUCUUUGACGUGGGCUAUCUCAUCGAUGUGUUUGUUCUUGUCGCUCAUGUCCACCGCGUCAAGGGUUGCUCGAUCGAUUUCUCCAUGGGAUCAAGCUACUUGGGAUGUCGUCUCUCCCAAGUCAAAGAUCCUCGCUCGUGAGUGCCUUCUGUGUCGUCCGAUCCGCGCCCGCCUCAUGGCGGUGCCUACCUGCCGCACUAUCAGCCGUCUGAUCGGGCCUAGGCGUUCGUCGACAUUCCUACCUGGUGCCGGACGCCCUUGUUCCAUCACCAUGGUCUUGGGGUCCAUCUCCAAGGGACAUGCACAUCACAUAUACUAAGGUGAACUCUAUCCUUUAUGCAUGUCUAGUUGGUUAUCUCAUGAUGGCAUACUACUUGAACCUCCUCCCUUGUGCAUACAUAGGAGAAUCACACAUGUUAAGGAGGAGUGCAAACACAAGUUUACACCUACAUCAUCCAUGAGGGAAGCUUGGAAGCAGAGAAAAAAGCACAAGACAAAGAUGGAGGAUCUACCAUCUGGCGGUCGGACUAUCCGGUCACUUUGUGCGGACUGUCUGGCUAGAAGGGCACAUAGCACCCAAAGAAAAGAAAAAUUAGUCGGACGUUGACCUAACUGUCUGGCCACCCAAAGUGUCCGAUCACCCGAGUUUGCACCCGCAUUCGACCAUCUGCGAGUCCACCUCGUGCUUUCUCCAACGCCUGGACUGUCCGCACACUUUCUGGCCGGACUGUCCGGCCGAGUCUUGCGGCGCGUAGUAAAAGGCCCACGGUCCAUGUAUUCCCUUCUCACAUACCCCUUCGUGGGUGGACCAAUUAUAACACUCCCCCACCACCUCUCUAGGGUUAGAAAAGACUAGAACUAAAACCAUAGAUAUUUUCUCAUGUAUCUUCCCUUUGUGGGAUCUAUCUUCCCUAGUGGAACAAUGUCCUCGUCUUGAGGAGAAGGGUUCCCCUAGCAAAUCAUCAAGACAUCCACUUGUGGAGAAGAAAAGCUUCAUAGAAGCAUCAAGUCCUCUUUGUUCUAGGACUUGGGGAAGAACCCUAUCUUGUUCCAUCUCUCUCAUAGAAGCAUCAAGCCCUCUUUGUCAAGGGUCUAACUAUGUGUAUUUUGAUUUGCAUGUACGUGUGUUGAUUUGAGUGUUUUCCCUCGUGUUCCCCCUCCGGUUCAUCAUAUUCUUUGCGUUCUUCCACAAA